ACUCGGGACAACAGGUGGCCCUGAGCGUGUGCAGAAAUAGACACACGGCCCACGGCUGCGGCGAGGUCACACAGGAAGCGCGAGGAGAGCCCAGCAGGUCCUGGGCGCUCAGGAAAGCUGUUUACUCCUGCUGUCCGCGAUCUCGCCAGGUCCUGCUCACUCCAGGCCCGCGGACCUCAGAAGCAGAACUCCACUUCCGCAUGUACCCGACAGAGGGUGUCCAGGGAGAACGUGGUGAAGUCCCAGCCCCCGUGGCUUCGUCAAUGGGAGCUGAAGGUCAAAUUCAGCGGCAGAGCAGUUCUGCCUCUCAGGGCUGCAGGGAGAGCACCUGCAACCGGAGGUGAGCGGAGUGCAUGUAUCUUGAGGGAAAGUGACAGAGCAAGCCACCAGGUCCAGGACUUGAACUGUGGUCAACUAU